rnacentral:rRNA from 1 species
GGUGCUGCAUGGCUGUCGUCAGCUCGUGUCGUGAGAUGUUGGGUUAAGUCCGUAACGAGCGCAACCCUUGUCCUUAGUUACCAGCACGUUAUGGUGGGCGACUCUAAGGAGACUGCCGGUGCAAACCGGAGGAAGGUGGGGAGUGACGUCAAGUCAUCAUGGCCCUUACGGCCUGGGCUACACACGUGCUACAAUGGUCGGUACAAAGGGUUGCCAAGCCGCGAGGUGGAGCUAAUCCCAUAAAACCGAUCGUAGUCCGGAUCGCAGUCUGCAACUCGACUGCGUGAAGUCGGAAUCGCUAGUAAUCGUGAAUCAGAAUGUCACGGUGAAUACGUUCCCGGGCCUU